UUAGUAGAGACGGGGUUUCACCAUGUUGGCCAGGAUGGUCUCAAUCUCUUGACCUCGUGAUCUGCCUGCCUCGGACUUCCAAAGAUACUUUUCUUUAACUACAUUAGAUACAUGGUAACCCUCAGAAGUUAUUCUUUAUUCUCUUUAUAAUUAUAAAAAUUGUACUGUGUCUAUUAAUGAAAAAUUAAGUUCAUACAACUUGAUACAAGUUUGUCGUAUUCAUGUGUGUGAUGUAUUUAUAAUUAAACAUCACAGAUAACUGCAAGCUCUGUAUUUUAAUUAAUAAAAUGUUAAAAUUCCCAAAGUAACCUGAGAUUGAUAGCAGCCGCAAUUCAGUACUUGCUGUUUUCCAGUUGCUUGGACAUAUCCACACUGUGAACAUACCCCCCAAAAAGGCGGAAGCUUUUUGUGUACCUAUGGUAUGCUUGUUAGUGAAAACAAUGCAAGAACAUGGGGUUUGGUAGCACAUUGAAUGGAAAUCUUCACAGUUUGACAGGAAAGGCCCGAUGAGUGAACUCCAUGUUGUUUUGUCUAUCAAUCUGAAGAAGUGAUAGAAGUGCCAUCCCAAAAUAUGCGAGAUUGGUAUAUUGAUUAUUUUGAGUUGAAUACGCUGAAGAAAUUGUAGUUUCAGCAAGGGCUAGCUGGCCUUCUCUUGCAUCAUGUGGCAAGCCGUGAGCAUAUCCCUGGGAGGGGUACUCUCCUCCUCCCCAUACAAGGGUGAGGAAAUAGCCUGAUCACAAGAGACAGGGAAUGAAGGGCUGCAAUGGACCUUAAUAAAUGUACUUUCUGAAGUAAUCCUUAUUUCUCACUAGUUUUACAACCUCCCCCCACAAAUAUCUUCUAUUUCCCUAGAAAUACACUGCCCCAGUCCGAUUUUCUUUAUCCUGUAGUUUUUUUCUCAAAUUCACCGUUCUUUGCCUAAAAAGUAUGAAAGCAAAUUGUUUGGACCGCUCCUUCAGUCUUGUUUCUCAUGUGAAAAUCUCCACAUACAUGGAAAACUGAUAAAAUGUGUAUGCUUUUUUCUUGUUAAUCUGCCUCAUGUCAAUUUGGUUUCUAGAUUCAGUUGAAGAGCUCACUGACAGCUGAAGGGGUUUGGAGUUGAUCUCAAGCUCGCCUGCAGAUCAGCUGCAAGUUCUAACUCUAAGAGGAGAAGGUGUUUUCCCAUUAAAAGAACUGGGUAUAUAUUUAGGAAUGACGUACAUAAGUAAAAACUGGUUAAAGUACCAUUUUCAUGUAAAGCAUGCACUUUAAUACCAAUCCAAAGAUUAUAAAUUCAAGGUUUUAGUAUCUGCAGUAAAAUAGUCAGUGGUAUCUGAGAUCAAGAGAGUGGGUAAGAAGCAGAGAAGGAACGUAUCACGGAAUAGAAUGUAGGCGGGAUGAGUUUUCUGCUUCUCGAUUGCGAUUGCGUCGUCUCGUUGGUAGUUAAGGUUUUCCUAUUCUGGCUGUAGUAUCUGCAGAGGUUGCAGCACACGGGUUCCUGCUCUGGAAUCAGAGUCUGAAUAAAUCUGCGAGACCUAACUGAUUGAAUAUAUUGAAUACCUGUACCUGGUUUUUAAUGAACAGAAAUGUAUUUGGCUCAUUGUCUGGAGGCUGGGAAGUCUAAAAUUGAAGGGCUGCUUCUGGUGAGGGGUGUCUUGCUGUGUCAUCCCACGGUGGAAGGGCAAAGAGAAGACAACUGUGUCUAGGAAGAUGGAGCUCCAAAUUUUGCAGUGGGAACUCAUUUGUGAACCCAAAGCUUUGGGAUGAGACAGGGAUGCCAUAAGAUUGAAGUACUCUGAAAAACUGAGAGUAAAGGCUUAUAACAGGUAAAAGCACAGCCCAAAUUCUUAAUUAGUUUUUUUUUGUUGUUGUUGUGAAGGGCAUCUGUCCAAAAACUUUCAGGACACACAUGGACUUUACAUGAGCAAGAAAAAAAGUGUGUGUUUAGACACUGAGAUGCUAGUGCUUUUGAUAAUAUAGCCUGAUCUCAAUCUCUUGACCUCCAGCCUGGGUAACAAGAGUGAAACUCUGUCUCAAAAAAAAAAAAAAAAUAUAUAUAUAUAUAUAUAUUGCCUGAUCUCAUAGAUACAUUUAUCUUAGACCAUUCUGUGCUAAAUACAUACAUUGACACAGACAAACAUACAUGCCUACAUAUCUAAUGGAUUAGUUAAAAGAAAGUACAUUUCAACCUUUAAACCAAGAAAAUAUAAGUAAAUAUUUAACAUCUCAAGUGAAGACUUUCUACAUAUAAUCUAGUGAAAGACAACAUAAGUGAAAAAGUGGACCUGACUACUUGCAAAUAACACUUUUGCAUAUGAGAAACAUCAACAACUAAAUGAAAAUUAAUGACAUGUGGGGAAAACAUUUUUUUUUUUGCAAUAGAGGGUUUAUGACCUUAUAUAUAAGAAGCUGUUAAAAAUGAGUAUCUUAAAAUAUCAGCAUCACACAUACACACAGAAAGACAAAUAAUUUAAACAUAAUUCUUCCAAUUUAUGAAAGCUGAAAUACAGACAGAUGCCUUCCAGAGUCAUCAGAAUUUGAACCAGUGAUGGGGAGCACGUAUGCAUUCCUGUCCAAUUAACAGUCAUAGAAGAUUGCCUGAACUGCCCCUGGGGUGUGCAUAUGCACCCUGAAAAUAUUUGACAUACCAGAGCAUACUUGGAUGUGUAUAUACAUAUUUAUGAGAAAUGUGAAAAUGGUUUUAGAUUUUAAUAUGUUUCUAUAUGUCCAAUUUUAAGCACUGACAAUUUUUAAAAAUAUGGAAAUAUUAUAAAUAUUUGUGUGAGGCAAGAGGAAUAUUGUUAUGUCUUCUAGUUACAAACCAUAGGAUCCUAGAGAUAAAAAUGAACAUUCCCUAAAGCUCCCAUUUAAGAAGUUUUUGGUUGAUGGCAUGACCCUUGAAGGGACUGACCUCCUGAGAGAGUUACUCAUAAAUAAUGGUUACUUUUUAUGAUAUAAAUAUUUUUGAAGAACAGCUAAAGUCUUCAUUAAAAAAGCAUUAUGCUCCUAUGAGAUUUCCCCAUCCCCAAGAUUAAUAUCACAGUUGUGGAGACCUAAGUACUUUUUUAUCUUACAAUUGUGCAUGAAGAAUUAUUUUGUGCAGUGCCAUAGGUUAAAUGCAUAUCAUGAAAUUCACUUUCCUCCUGAUUGCCGUUUCUGUCACUUAAUUCAAUGAAAGCCCACGAAAAUACAGUAUGACUCAGAAUACUGGAGCUGUGGCUAAGCAAGAAAAGUUCAUUCAAAAUUGAUUUUCUUUCAGGAAUCCUUGAUAUUCUUCAUUCCAAUUGUUCACCUCUACUGUAGGGCUCAGUAAACACUUAAGGAAGUUGCCGUACACUGCAGCCUGCCGGAGACAUGAAGGAAUGUACAGGAGGAUAAUCACAACAUCAUCAACCCAAUUCUCCAAGGUAGCUGGCCAAUAAUGCUGUUCUAAUUGAAUAACUUAUCCACAGCUAUUUCCCCUGGGGAAGCCGAAGGCUCAGCCUCGGCAAAGAGGCAGAUGGUGCCGCAUAUACAAUGAAACCUGUAAUUUUCUCUCGCCAUUGGCCAUGUUAACAGUGGGCUGUUUCUGCUUAUUCCUCGACAUUUCAUUUUAAUAGUCCCUUCCCAAAUUAUAAUGUACCAUGAAGCAGCCAAAGAUGGAUUCAGUGAUACAUAUCAUAUUUAAUUUAUCAUACCUCUAGCUCACUGAACAACUCACUUGGUAGUCAGCAGCAGUUAUAUGUCAGGGACAGGUGCAAGCUGAGAAGAAAGCAACAGAAAGGGACCCAAUUAGAGCCAAAAGGGGAGAUGAGUCUUCAGGGUGGCAUGGCAUUCAUGAGCAGCAAAGUGUGCAAUAUCAAACGCCUUCUAAUUCUCAUUUUUUUUAAAACAGUAAUUUGCCAUAGAACAGGCACACCCAAUGUAUUUGGGAAGACAAUGGGAAGGCUCUGUUUUCUGCUAUAAGACUGAUUCAACCAGUCGGAUCUGGAAGGGGAUAAAGGGCUGUGUGGCUGCUUGAUUUUCAUUGUCUAGGUGGCAGGCAAAGUUGGAAAAGAGAAGUGCAGACUCUAAAGGCAAGCAGCGACAGCUCAUCAGCGGUCUAACAACACGACAGAUGACAGGCCCAGAGGCAUACCCAGGGCCGCCAGCCCAUCAGCCUGUGCAGGAUGCCAGAGAGCAGCUGCAGCAAUGGACGAAGAUCACCCAGACUUGAAGGCUUGGGCCCUUGCUAAGACCAUAGAGUCUUUGUGCUUUGGAAACAGCACUCCAUACAGAGACCCCUUCCUAGAAAAGAGUGAAAAGAAACCAAGGUGGGAUGGACACAAAGGAAGGAGACCAUGCUAAUAUUCUUGUGCAAUGCUUCCUGGGCAGAAACUAUGUCAUAAAGGAUGUUCUAUUCUGCAAAGCCAUGUCUGUCUGUGGUUUGCCUCAGAGGAGGGACCUUUCAUAGCUGUAGUGAGUAAGGGGACCCUUGCUGAUGUUAUCAGAUAUGCCAAAGCACAGAAAAAAAGCACUGGAGGUCACAGGGUGGCUCGGGUCUGCCUGUGGUAAUUGAAAACAGGUGAUGAGAUUGGGGUGAUUUUAUUUUGGAAAAGUAAAUUAGUGCUGCACCACUCUGACAUGGCUAAUUCAUGAAGCCUCUGGUUUGUAUUACACACCCAACAUGCCUUUCAGAAAGAAAUGACACAACAAUUAAUGUGUCAAAUAAUAAUGUGCCACUCAGAGAAAGAUAAUUGUACCCAGCGUCAGGUAGUUAUUAGGUCAGAACGAAUGCUCAUCCUUUCAAAGGCAACAGUGUCUAUUCACUCUGGCAUCCUACUGUAAGUACAGUACUGUGUUGAUAAUCACAGAGGCUGAAGCCAUGAACACUGGGUUUUAUCUGAUUUUUCUCCAUUUGGAAUUAUACUCUGAUGAUUCCCUAAACAGCAAACUCAGUCAUGUGAAACACAAAUGAGUGUGAUGAAAGACAGAUUGUUAUACUGGAGGAGAGGCUGUCUCUGUCUGUGCUUUUCAUAUAAUAUAGAGCAUGAGGACUGUUCCAAAGAAGGUUUGAGCAUAUGUAACAAAAACUAUCAGACCUGAGUUUGCUCAUGUGUAAAUGAUAGUCUUCCCUUCUGGUGAUUUAAUGCAUGAGGACAUCAAUCAGUCACAUCAUGGCCUCAGAAGUCCUUGUUCAAUUUCUGGUGCUGUAACUUACUCGAUGUGGGAUUUGAACAAGUCAUUUAACCUCACUAUGAUUCUGUUUCCUCAUUUGAAAAACAGAAAUAGAAGAGCCUGCUGUAUAUUUAGUUCCACAUCUGUUGGGAGGUCGAAGAAGAAAGGGCAUGAAAAGAUGUUUGUAAAUAUAAAGAACCCAUGUAAAUGUAAGACAUUAGUUUAUUAAUGCUCCAGAUUAAUUCAUGUUCGGUGAAUGAUAAAAUGUGAUGUCUUUUGAACAGAGACAGUUUUACUAAGAAAAAUGCCUAAGAAAAAUUAGGCAAUGGCUUCUGUCCUUACAAAUGGAGAACUUCAUAAUCAAUGGAGGCUCUCAAAACCACCUGCCCAAGACUGAACUAAAUACUCACUUCAUUUAACCAAGAAUGAGGAACUGAAAUACAUGAUUAUUAUAUAUGGGUAUCCUUCUGUUUCAUCUACUGAGGCACACUUGUGAUGAGAUGUAAAAAUUAGCCAUCUUCAGAAGGAGAAACACUGUAUUUGGGGGUAUUUCUUCUGGACAGACAAUUGGCCUUGUUAUUGUCAAAAGCUAUUUAAAAUAAAUAAAACACCAUUUUAUGCUAUAUAAAAUA